rnacentral:rRNA from 1 species
UACGUAGGUGGCGAGCGUUGUCCGGAAUUACUGGGUGUAAAGCGCGUGUAGGCGGGAGGCCAAGUCUGUGGUGAAAUCGCUCGGCUUAACUGGGCGGGGUCCAUGGAAACUGGUCACCUGGAGGUCGGUAGAGGCAAGUGGAAUUCCCGGUGUAGUGGUGAAAUGCGCAGAUAUCGGGAAGAACACCCGUGGCGAAGGCGGUUCUCUGGGACGGUACUGACGCUGAGACGCGAAAGCGUGGGGAGCGAACAGG